CACAUUCGGGGCGCUUCGGCGCUCCUUAUACACCCACCCUCUGCCUACGUGUACCUCUAUAGUCUUCCUCGGCGGGCUCGCCCGCCGCCAGGAACCCACGAAACCCCUUGCAUUAUACGCGAAAAACUUCUGAUAACAAACCUAAAUUAUCA
rnacentral:misc_RNA from 1 species